AGAGUUUGAUCCUGGCUCAGAGCGAACGCUGGCGGCAGGCUUAACACAUGCAAGUCGAGCGGGCGUAGCAAUACGUCAGCGGCAGACGGGUGAGUAACGCGUGGGAACGUACCUUUUGGUUCGGAACAACACAGGGAAACUUGUGCUAAUACCGGAUAAGCCCUUACGGGGAAAGAUUUAUCGCCGAAAGAUCGGCCCGCGUCUGAUUAGCUAGUUGGUAGGGUAAUGGCCUACCAAGGCGACGAUCAGUAGCUGGUCUGAGAGGAUGAUCAGCCACAUUGGGACUGAGACACGGCCCAAACUCCUACGGGAGGCAGCAGUGGGGAAUAUUGGACAAUGGGGGCAACCCUGAUCCAGCCAUGCCGCGUGAGUGAUGAAGGCCUUCGGGUUGUAAAGCUCUUUCGGCCGGGAAGAAAUCGCAUAGGUUAAUACCCUGUGUGGAUGACGGUACCGGAAUAAGAAGCACCGGCUAACUACGUGCCAGCAGCCGCGGUAAUACGUAGGGUGCGAGCGUUAAUCGGAAUUACUGGGCGUAAAGCGUGCGCAGGCGGUUUCGUAAGACAGAGGUGAAAUCCCCGGGCUCAACCUGGGAACUGCCUUUGUGACUGCGAAGCUAGAGUACGGCAGAGGGGGGUGGAAUUCCACGUGUAGCAGUGAAAUGCGUAGAGAUGUGGAGGAACACCGAUGGCGAAGGCAGCCCCCUGGGCCGAUACUGACGCUCAUGCACGAAAGCGUGGGUAGCAAACAGGAUUAGAUACCCUGGUAGUCCACGCCCUAAACGAUGUCAACUAGGUGUUGGGUGGGUAAAACCAUUUAGUACCGUAGCUAACGCGUGAAGUUGACCGCCUGGGGAGUACGGCCGCAAGGUUAAAACUCAAAGGAAUUGACGGGGACCCGCACAAGCGGUGGAUGAUGUGGAUUAAUUCGAUGCAACGCGAAAAACCUUACCUACCCUUGACAUGUUCAGAAUCCUGGAGAGAUUUGGGAGUGCCCGAAAGGGAGCUGGAACACAGGUGCUGCAUGGCUGUCGUCAGCUCGUGUCGUGAGAUGUUGGGUUAAGUCCCGCAACGAGCGCAACCCUUGUCGUUAAUUGCCAUCAUUUAGUUGGGCACUUUAACGAGACUGCCGGUGACAAACCGGAGGAAGGUGGGGAUGACGUCAAGUCCUCAUGGCCCUUAUGGGUAGGGCUUCACACGUCAUACAAUGGUCGGUACAGAGGGUUGCCAAGCCGCGAGGUGGAGCCAAUCCCAGAAAGCCGAUCGUAGUCCGGAUUGCAGGCUGCAACUCGCCUGCAUGAAGUCGGAAUCGCUAGUAAUCGCGGAUCAGCAUGUCGCGGUGAAUACGUUCCCGGGUCUUGUACACACCGCCCGUCACACCAUGGGAGCGGGUUCCGCCAGAAGUAGGUAGCCUAACCGCAAGGGGGGCGCUUACCACGGCGGGGUUCGUGACUGGGGUGAAGUCGUAACAAGGUAGCCGUAGGGGAACCUGCGGCUGGAUCACCUCCUU
rnacentral:rRNA from 1 species